GACGAACGCUGGCGGCGUGCUUAACACAUGCAAGUCGAACGGAAAGGCCCUGCUUUUGUGGGGUGCUCGAGUGGCGAACGGGUGAGUAACACGUGAGUAACCUGCCCUUGACUUUGGGAUAACUUCAGGAAACUGGGGCUAAUACCGGAUAGGAGCUCCUGCUGCAUGGUGGGGGUUGGAAAGUUUCGGCGGUUGGGGAUGGACUCGCGGCUUAUCAGCUUGUUGGUGGGGUAGUGGCUUACCAAGGCUUUGACGGGUAGCCGGCCUGAGAGGGUGACCGGCCACAUUGGGACUGAGAUACGGCCCAGACUCCUACGGGAGGCAGCAGUGGGGAAUAUUGCACAAUGGGCGGAAGCCUGAUGCAGCAACGCCGCGUGCGGGAUGACGGCCUUCGGGUUGUAAACCGCUUUCGCCUGUGACGAAGCGUAAGUGACGGUAAUUGGUAAAGAAGCACCGGCUAACUACGUG
rnacentral:rRNA from 1 species